GAGAAUAUCAUGCCUACUAUUUGGUUAAUGAAACUAUGACAGCUCGGUUUUAUAUUAUGAUUAGCAAUUUAAAUUUUAAUUAUGGUUAUGAUAAGUUUACGUUCACGUGCCAAUCCUAUCUAUCUUCGAUAUUUUUCUCUUUUUUGUGUCAUUUUGGUUUUUGCUCGAUAUAAAUAUUGAUUUUUGAGUUUAUUCUCAUUUCUUUCUUUUUUUUUUGGCCUGAGAUUUAGAAAAUGUUUAAGAUUCAAAAUUAUUAAAUAGAUACAUACUUAGGUUAAGAUAGACGUCUUGUAUAUUAAAUAACUAAGAAAUCAGUUACUAUUAUGUAAUAAAUUGGCUUGCACAUAUAAAUCAAAGAUAUGAAGUACAUAUAUAUAUAUAUAUAUAUAUAUAUAUAUAUAUAUAUAUAUAUAUAUAUACAUAGACACCUAUUAAAAUAAAAUUAUUUAUUUAUAUGAUUU
rnacentral:lncRNA from 1 species